AAUACAUGCAAGUCGAGCGCACCUUCGGGUGAGCGGCGGACGGGUGAGUAACGCGUGGGAAUAUGCCCUAUGGUGCGGAACAACUGAGGGAAACUUCAGCUAAUACCGCAUGUGCCCUACGGGGGAAAGAUUUAUCGCCAUAGGAGUAGCCCGCGUUGGAUUAGUUUGUUGGUGAGGUAAUGGCUCACCAAGACUUCGAUCCAUAGCUGGUCUGAGAGGAUGAUCAGCCACACUGGGACUGAGACACGGCCCAGACUCCUACGGGAGGCAGCAGUAGGGAAUCUUGCGCAAUGGGCGAAAGCCUGACGCAGCCAUGCCGCGUGAAUGAUGAAGGUCUUAGGAUUGUAAAAUUCUUUCACCGGGGACGAUAAUGACGGUACCCGGAGAAGAAGCUCCGGCUAACUUCGUGCCAGCAGCCGCGGUAAUACGAAGGGGGCUAGCGUUGCUCGGAAUUACUGGGCGUAAAGGGCGCGUAGGCGGACAGUUUAGUCAGAGGUGAAAGCCCAGGGCUCAACCUUGGAAUAGCCUUUGAUACUGACUGUCUUGAGUACSGGAGARGUGUGUGGAACUCCGAGUGUAGARGUGAAAUUCGUAGAUAUUCGGAAGAACACCAGUGGCGAAGGCGACACACUGGCCCGUUACUGACGCUGAGGCG
rnacentral:rRNA from 1 species